CCGUAGGUGAACCUGCGGAAGGAUCAUUGUCGAAACCUGCC
rnacentral:rRNA from 1 species